UGAAGGGCGUGCUAAUCUGCGAUAAGCGCCGGUAAGGUGAUAUGAACCGUUAUAACCGGCGAUACCCGAAUGGGGAAACCCAGUGUGACUCGUCACACUAUCAUUAACUGAAUCCAUAGGUUAAUGAGGCGAACCGGGGGAACUGAAACAUCUAAGUACCCCGAGGAAAAGAAAUCAACCGAGAUUCCCCCAGUAGCGGCGAGCGAACGGGGAGGAGCCCAGAGCCUGAAUCAGCAUGUGUGUUAGUGGAAGCGUCUGGAAAGGCGCGCGAUACAGGGUGACAGCCCCGUACACAAAAGCGCAUGUGCUGUGAGCUCGAUGAGUAGGGCGGGACACGUGGUAUCCUGUCUGAAUAUGGGGGGACCAUCCUCCAAGGCUAAAUACUCCUGACUGACCGAUAGUGAACCAGUACCGUGAGGGAAAGGCGAAAAGAACCCCGGCGAGGGGAGUGAAAAAGAACCUGAAACCGUGUACGUACAAGCAGUGGGAGCACCCUUUGGGUGUGACUGCGUACCUUUUGUAUAAUGGGUCAGCGACUUAUAUUCUGUAGCAAGGUUAACCGAAUAGGGGAGCCGGAGGGAAACCGAGUCUUAACCGGGCGUUAAGUUGCAGGGUAUAGACCCGAAACCCGGUGAUCUAGCCAUGGGCAGGUUGAAGGUUGGGUAACACUAACUGGAGGACCGAACCGACUAAUGUUGAAAAAUUAGCGGAUGACCUGUGGCUGGGGGUGAAAGGCCAAUCAAACCGGGAGAUAGCUGGUUCUCCCCGAAAGCUAUUUAGGUAGCGCCUCGUGAA
rnacentral:rRNA from 1 species